rnacentral:rRNA from 1 species
UACGGAAGGCAGCAGGGGGAAUAUUGCACAAUGGGCGCAAGCCUGAUGCAGCCAUGCCGCGUGUAUGAAGAAGGCCUUCGGGUUGUAAAGUACUUUCAGUCGUGAGGAAGGUGUUAAGGUUAAUAACCUUAGCAAUUGACGUUAGCGACAGAAGAAGCACCGGCUAACUCCGUGCCAGCAGCCGCGGUAAUACGGAGGGUGCGAGCGUUAAUCGGAAUUACUGGGCGUAAAGGGCACGCAGGCGGUUAAUUAAGUUGGAUGUGAAAUCCCCGGGCUUAACCUGGGAAUGGCAUUCAAGACUGGUUUAGCUAGAGUCUUGUAGAGGGGGUUAGAAUUCCAUGUGUAGCGGUGAAAUGCGUAGAGAUGUGGAGGAAUACCGGUGGCGAAGGCGGCCCCUGGACAAAGACUGACGCUCAUGUGCGAAAGCGUGGGGAGCAAACAGGGAUUAGAUACC